GACACAUGCCACAUAUUAAUAAAGUGUUAAAUCAUUUCCAGAUUUUCAAAUAUUCUGGUAAAAUGAAUUAAUAUUUUUAAUCUUACACCGAAUCCAUGGCAAUUUUUUUUUUUUUAAUUUAUGAAAAAUCAAAAAAUUAAUAUUUAAACUUUAGAACAUGUUUCCUACAUUUAUAUCUUGGUUUACUAUAUGAUAGAGGCCUAGAAAUAACAUACAAAUCCUAUAACUCCUAAUAUCUAUUUAUGAUUGAACCAGAAAAAAAUGUCUACUUAAAAAUUACACGUACAAUAAUCAAAGUGACAGGUGGCAUUUCAGUGUUUUUUUUCGAAAUUCAACGUCCGGUCUAUAAUUAAUACCAACACGUAUUAUGUUAUUAACACUGAAUACCUUAUGUACUGGACAAAUUCAAUUGUAAACAUGCGAACGGGACAAGUGUUAAUUAUGACGCACGUACAUUAUGAGAUUGGAUACCUGUGCAAGGUACAACUUCCUAAAACAGUUUCCAUAAUGUCUGUUCUCGUUAUUAAUAAGGGCUUCUUGGUCACUGUGUAAAAAUAUCUAAUAGAAUUUUCUCAAAUAUACUGUCUAGUGUUUAUGUAACAGUAUUACGAUUAUAAAUUCGUACAUGAUUUUUUCGACUACAAACCACAAUGGUAACCACAAAGAUUUUAUGCAAAUUACAUUUCAGUUUCUAUUGUACAGUUAGUAUUAUUAAAAUAUUUUAAAAAUUAUAUCCCUAUUAUAUAAUAUAAUAUUGCGCUUAAGUACAAAGACACUAC